rnacentral:lncRNA from 1 species
GUGUACCUCAGCUAUGAUGUUUAUGUAUGUUUUAUAAACUUUUUUGAAAAAAAAAAAUAAAGAGAAUUUGAAUCCCACGUGAAAAGGAAACUUGGCCAUCCCAUCUGGUGUCCGCAGGAGGUUUGGUCUGUGUUCAUGCUUCUCAGAUUCACACUGGCUUCAUUGCUUUGUUAACACCCGCUCUGUGGUGCUUCUGGGCACAUGUUCUGCAGAUGUUCCAGAGGCCUGGUCAGACAGAAACGCUUGCCCCUCAGAGUCCUGUCUCACUUGCUCCAGGGACCGCAGAGCCUGGGAGUGUUGAGGAACUGCUCCAUGCUCUUAUCCGUGGAAGUCCAAGUUCCAAUGGACAGCGGUUUUUGGAGGAAAAACAAUCAGUAUUGUAGCUCUUUCCUAGAUAUUGUUUAUUAGAAAUCACUUUGCAACAGUGCAUUAUUUUGCAGAGAAUAAAAAGCAAAACCAUUCCAUCAGCUGGAAUUAACAGUCAGGAAAGACAAUCUUUCAGAAAAGGAAAGAGAUAAAUUAGCAUAUGGAAAUCUGUUCUAAAACAUCAGCCUAUAUUUGUUGACAUAGGAAAAUGAACAAUGUGUAUUCAAGCACAGAGAUUAAAGUUACUUGAAACAUUUCCUAAUUGUUGUUGUUGAUUAAUAAGAAAGUACUGUUUGAGGAAUGUCAAAUUCUUGUUGUUGUUGUUUUUCAAUCCCAGUUGGGGUUUGUACCACAUGUAAAAUAGAUAUUUCAUGAGCAAGCCUUACAAGAAGACAGAAUUGCUUAAAUCAGACUGUAAUAUCGUAACCAUAUGGUAAUCCUCUUCUCAGACCUUUAAAAAUCCUAUUGUCUACCAAUUGCAAUAAGAUUUCAAUUUGUACUUGAGCCUUAUUUAGGUGGAAUAGAAGAAGACAUUGACCACUGUGGUUGCACUUU